UACAGAGGUCCCGAGCGUUGUUCGGAUUUAUUGGGCGUAAAGGGUGCGUAGGCGGCGGAGUAAGUUGGGUGUGAAAUCCCGGGGCUUAACCUCGGAAUUGCAUUCAAUACUGCUCCGCUCGAGUUCUGUAGAGGAGAUUGGAAUUUACGGUGUAGCAGUGAAAUGCGUAGAUAUCGUAAGGAACGCCAGUGGCGAAAGCGAAUCUCUGGGCAGCAACUGACGCUGAGGCACGAAGGCCAGGGGAGCAAACGGG
rnacentral:rRNA from 1 species